GGUUGCCUGUUUCCAUUCUUUCUGCUGGCCCUCAGGGCUUCAGUCCUGUCACCCCACCCCACCCUCCACCCCUUUUCCUCCAAUACCUGAUCUUGUCCCGCUCAUCCCUUCCCUUUCCACUUUCUCUCCCAAGUCCCUCCCUCCUGUGAUUGCAUUCUUCACCCUCCCAAGUGGGGUAGAGACAUCCUUACUGGGGUCCUUGCGCUUGUUAGCCUUCUUGAGUCCUGUGGAUUGUAUACUGGGCAUUCUGUACUUUUUUAUUAAUGAGUACAUACCAUGCAUGUCUUGAGUUACCUCACUCAGAAGUUCUAGUUUUUUUAGUGGAAUGUUUCUUUUAGUCUCAAUGGUUUCAAUAUUAUGGAGGGGGGGGGGCGGAGACUUAAAAUUGUACAUCCUGAAUCAUUUUUGAAAGAAAUGUUUUACCGAGGAGGAUUGUAUCUUAACUAUCAUGAAAAGAGUGAGAGAGACAAAGAGACAGAGUGACAGAGACAGACAGAGAGAGAGAGAGAGACAGAGAGAGAGAGAGAGAGAGAGAGAGAGAGAGAGAGAGACAGAGAAGAAAAGAAAGAAUAUUAAGGGCACAAAAAAUAAAAAUUGAAAUAAGUUUUUCUUUAUUGUUUAAAUUAUACAAUUUAAAAAUAUAAAAAAAUUAAUAUUAAAUACUUACCAAGAAUUAGUUUCUGGCAAAAUGGCUUUCCACGUGCUAUAUAUCAUCUUAUUUGACCUAAAUUAUUCUCAUAUCAUUUCUACUCAUUACAUUUGGUACCUUGUUACUUCCAUACAGUGCGUUUUGUUCAUAUUUACUUCCUCUUCCUCACACAUCCUAGCACUUUUCACCAUCUACAGAAUUUUAUGGGAAAUUAUAUUUAUGCAAUUAAUUCAUGUUAGAACAAAGAAUCUAUGAAUCUUUUCAACAAUACAUAUCCUAUGUAUACAUAUUAUGUCAUUAGAAUCUAAUUACUAUAAUUAUCAGAGCUUACUUGUUAAGAUACUUUUCAACACAUAUCAUUUUUCCAAUUAUUAUUCUCUGUUUAGUAAACAGAAAUACUUCUUUUUUCAUGAUUUAAUAUCACAUACUGAGUUUAAAAUGCAGUUAAAUUUUUAAAAUAUUUACAAAGAAAAUAAUAAGUGUUUCAAGCAAAAACAGAGAAACAUGUAACAGAAAUUACAAUUCAUCUUUUCUCUGGUAAUUUUUACAAAAUAUAAAAGUAUAUAAAUAAAAUAUAGUGUAGGUUUCACAAAUAAAAUUGUUUCAAUUGUCUUCUAAAUUAGAUAUAGUAUUUUCUAUACAUUCAGAAAAAAUAUCAAAACUAGCAACUAUCUUAUAAUUUGCUUAUAUUCACAUUAAAAUAUCAAAGAAAUAUAAAUAUAUCUUUAAAUAUAUUUUCUAAUGAAAAUGAUUAAUAUGUAUAACAUUAUUAAUAAUUCUCUAUCUAGGACUUGUUCUUUAAUUAUAAUUAUAUAAAAUGAUUGUACUCUAGAAUGAAAGAAAGAAAUGUUGUAGGUUUAGGAAAAUAUGGCUUAAAACUAUUCCUGUUUCAUCCUUUCGCCAAACAAUUCCUAAAGUCUAUAAUUAAGCCAUCUUGCUUUAGUCUGUCUUAAUUAGAAUUUAUAUUUAUGUAUGAAUCAAGUAUCUUUGUUCUUGUUAGAAGUUUUGCCAAAUGAUGUGUCAUGCAGAGCUAAUACAGAGCUAUGGAAUCUUAUGUUAGAUUUUUACAAAAAUCCAUUCCUAAGAAAGUUAUUGACCUGUUUUGCUCAUUUCAUGUCGUAUCUAAAAUAACAACACAUUGUAUAGCAUGAAUAUAUACUAUACUGCAAUAAGCUGGAAGGAAACAAUUUAAAAUACUGUGACUUCAGAAUGAAGACCAUGGUAUUAGAAAUGAAGACAGUUAAUACUCAACAUACUUAUAUGCUGGUGUACUAAACUCCAGUCUGUGAAAGGUACAUUUGUGAGGGUGGGGGAAAUUUUGUUAAAUAUUUGAUCAGAAUAUAUUGUACAAAAAAAUAAAUUAAAAAAUAUAAAAAAGCCACGUGUAACAUUUAUAUUCAGGGUCUUAGUAAUUUUAUAGAUAAAUGGUAGAUGAUGAGCCAUUUUUGAAGGUACCAUAAGUAUACAGACUAAGAGUAAUUACAAAUGUUUACUCUAUAUGUAUUCCAUAACUAUAUAUGCCAAUUCUCACAUAACCUUAAAUAUCUUGUCUAAGACAAAAAAACCAACAGAAUUUGGGACAGCUGCUGGCGGCCUGUGGAUUCUGCAUGAAAAGACACCACAAAGCUGGCAAGACACUCUUUGAGGAAGGCUAAUGCAAAUUUGAAUGAGCAAGUCUGUUUUGAGGGAAUAGAGGCAGGGAAACAGCUUGCUACCACCAAUGCAAUUUAAUCCCACUUUGGAAGACACUGCCACCUGCAUCCAACUGUUUCAUAGGUGUGUGAUUCAGGCUUUGGGAAGUUGCAUAUCUUCCCUGGGGAACCCCUACUGACAGAUGUUCCUAAGUUACAGAGAAAAGGCAAUUGGAAUUGAAAUGAGCCUGAGGGAUUUUUAAAAUAAGGCUUCCAUAGAAAAAUCAGGUUAAAACACGCAUUAAUUUUCUUAUAUUUGUAUUAACCCAGUACUGCAUUUACCUUCAUACUGAUUUAAGAUUAAAUUUGACACAAAUAUAUUUAAAAAUCAUAGUUUUAGGAAAUUUUUAGAAAUGUUUUUAAAAGAUUACAACAUGCACCACAUUUGGCUCAACAAUUGUUUUAUACUAGAAAGGGAUGUUUUAUGAAAUUACCCAAAAGUCUGAGAUUGCAACAAAUUUAUCCUUAGUUUAAUGUUACAAAACCACUGAUAUUUUAUAGACUUCCACACUUCUGAAAGCAUAGGUACUCUUGCCAGCAUCUGAAUCUCAUUUUCUAUCUCAAUCGUGCCUGCUCAAAGCCAGUUUCCAAAGAAUAUUCUACCAUAUAAUUUUCUAUUUUCUCCCUUUAUAUAGUGCGAAGUUAAUAAUGUAAGAUAUACAAUGCAUGCAAUGUACAGUAUACAGUGUAAGAUAUAAAGAUAUAAGUCAUAAUACAAGUUAGAUGCUUACAAGUUUUCUUUUGAAAAUUACAUUUCAUAAAUUUCCAGAGAAAUUAGGAAGAAUCUGAUAUAAAAAUAAUCUUGAAAAUUGAGAAACAUUUAUAUUCUAAAAUUAAAGUUUCAGACUGAAAAAAUUCCAGGAAUAACAUGGCAGAUUAAUAUAUUUACAUGAAGUAAAAAUUUGCAUACAUUUUAUUUUAGGAGGUGUUAGAGGUAAUGAUAAGUUCUGUGUCAUGAAUAGCAUAUGACAGAUAUUGUUAUCAACUUUUAAGACAUUAUUAUUUGAUUGACAUUUUUCUUGGAGAAAGUUAUACCUAUCUCAGACUUUAACCAGUUGCCUUCCUUCCUGCCUCUCCCCAUCUUCUUCCCUUCCCUCAUUUUCACUUUCUUUUCUCUUUUGCUUUCAUUUAUUAUAUCCACUAUUGUUUAUGAAACACCGUGUUAAACCUUUAAAUAGCAAAGUGUUUAAAUUUCUCAAAUGUCAGUUUUACAAAAAUGUGUGUAUGAAAAUUUACUUUGACUUGGAGAAUAAACACUCAAAGGGUAUUUUUUUUUUUAAGUAAAUCAUCUCUUUUAGGCUAGCAAGACGAUUCCUCUGUGAAACAGGCUGCGGUCAAUCCUGCACCGAUGAGGUCACCUCCAGGCUCAUAUCGAAGAGAGAUAGAACCAACUCUCAUACAUGUCUUCUGAGCAUCAUAUGAGACACACACACACACACAAGCACACACGGAGGGUGCUUCUCUGCCAUUCGGUAUGCCCCUCCUUAGAAUUGGGAACAAAACACCCAUGGAAGGAGUUACAAAGACAAAGUUUGGAUCUGAGAUGAAAGGAUGGACCAUGUAGAGACUGCCAUAUCCAGGGAUCCACCCCAUAAUCAGCAUCCAAACGGUGACACCAUUGCAUAUACUAGCAAGAUUUUAUCGAAAGGACCCAGAUGUAGCUGUCUCUUGUGAGACUAUGCCGGGGCCUAGCAAACACAGAAGUGGAUGCUCAUAGUCAGCUAAUGGAUGGAUCACAGGGCUCCCAAUGGAGGAGCUAGAGAAAGUACCCAAGGAACUAAAGGGAUCUGCAACCCUAAAGGUGGAACAACAUUAUGAACUAACCAGUACCCCGGAGCUCUUGACUCUAGCUGCAUAUGUAUCAAAAGAUGGCCUAGUCGGCCAUCACUGGAAAGAAAGGCCCAUUGGACACGCAAACUUUAUAUGCCCCAGUACAGGGGAACGCCAGGGCCAAAAAGGGGGAGUGGGUGGGUAGAGGAGUGGGGGUGGGUGGGUAUGGGGGACUUUUGGUAUAGCAUUGGAAAUGUAAAUGAGGUAAAUACCUAAUAAAAAUGGAAAAAAAAUGCAAAAAAAAAAAAAAGAAAAGAAAAGAAACAAAUACAAGAGAGGAAAUACCGACAAAGAAAGUGGAUACCAUAGCGUGCGGACUUUGUGUUAAACCUGUUGUGCCUAUGACUUUCAAACGGAUUGGUUGAGAAAAUUUGAAUACUAGUCUAACAAUUCAUAUGCCAGAGAAGCUCUAGAAAUCUAAACGUAGAAAUGAAGGGCCGUGCCAGUGAGGCUGGGCAAGUCUGGAAUAUUUUGCAGAUCUGUCAGUUUAAAGUGACAGAAAUGAAGGAAGUGAGGGUGGGGGAGAAGCUGUGUGAGGGGGAGACUGGGAGAAGAGGGAGGCUGGUAUUGAGAUAUAAAGCAAAUAAACAGAUGAAUUAGUUUUUAAAAAGCGAGAGAGAGAGAGAGAGAGAGAGAGAGAGAGAAUGAGUGUGAUUGUUGAUAUCCAUGGGAGGUCUGCCCUUUUCUAAAUAGCAAUGGAGGAGGAGUAAUGGGGAGGAAUGGGGGGGGGUGCACAUGUGGGCAAUGGCAGGGGCGUUGGGCGGAGGGGAGGGAAACAGUCUGUAAAUAAUAAUAAAUUCAGUACAACCAAAGAGAAACCCAGGACUCUGCACUGGGAAAACAAAAUGGUGUCAGGAGAAUAGGCGCUCACCCAACAAAGGCUCCACAUGCAAAUGCGUUUAAAGAGCAUAUUUGUAGUACCAGAAUUUUGGAGUGUCCUCUUUAAGCAGAGUUACUGGGCAAAAAAUGUUUCCUCUUGCUCACCCAUAUAUGUUCUUGGAGGCUGCUGCAAUCUAUGUUGAGGAAAACUGGCUACCUCGUGCGUUGACGGUAGAACUUGGCAUCUUCCGUGCGCCACUGCCUUUGUAGGCCUGUAGGAUGUAAGAGUAAGGGAACUGUUGAAGUUUCUGCCUGAAUGUGAUGUUAAGCAACUUGUUGCGGGUGUCUCUCACAUGGAAUCAAAUAGUGGGCUGUACCUAAAGCAGUGAAGGCGAAGUCCAAUGUAUACUGAAAAAUAUGAGAUCUUAGAGAGGCAGAAACUAUGUGAUGAUCACUGAAAAAAGCUGUUGGUGUUGAGUGAGAUGGUCCCAUAAGAGAUGCUAAAUGUUUGUACUAUAAGCAGCAGAAUGGAGAAUGUGUGUCUGUUCUGAGGCUGUUACAGAUCCAAUCAUGCCAUUCUGACCCCUGUUCGCAAACAGGGAGACUAGAGAGGAUUUCCUAUUUGUCCUCAAAGUUUUAAUCCUAGUUUAGAUCCUGUCUUUCUACAGAGAAUGGCGAUGUUUACUGCUGCCUUUUUAUAUAUUAGAAUGAUUUUUCAAAGAAACAGACAUUCCCGGCGGAUGUAUUACAUUGAGUCAACGAAGACUUCACACUUUUGAACAAUGUUAGAAGUGUAAGAUUAUGCGGAUAUUUGAACUCCUAAGAAACAAGGAAUAAAUUCUAUGCUACACAGAAGAACACGCAAACAACGUGCACUUGUUUGUAUUCUCAUGCAGGUGGUACCUGUCUGUACUCCCCAUUGACCGAGGUCUGACCUCAGACUCCUUCACACCUGACAAGUAUUAAACUGUCACAAUGAAAGAACACAUAAGGAAGCUUGACCACUCAGGCCAUUAAGUUGUAAAAAAUGCACAGAAUGCAGACUCUGUGAAAACUAAGUAUUUAUGGAGUAGAAGUAUGUGUAGGGUUUGAGAUAUUUGCAUAAAAGUCUUACGAGGUAUUUUGUGUAAAAGAUUUGAAUUCCUUGUCUUACACAUCAGCAUUGGAGUGUUUGGCAGAAAAAGCUGGAAUUUAAUGUUUCUUAUCUGAACAUAUUUCACAGUAUGGAAUAGCUAUGAACCAAUAGCAUCCAAGAAUGGAAUGCUGUGUUUUAGCUGUAAUAUACCCUCUGUGUCAUCUGUAAGAUGUUUGCAGUCUAAUACCCAGCUGAUAGUGUUUUGGUGAAGUUAAGUUGUGAAACAGCAGUGUGGUAAAGCCUGCCUGGAGAAGAGAGCCUCUGACAUAGAGAAUCAGGGAGGGAAACACACAGGAAGUGAAGGUAGAGCCCUGGCCUGUUUCUGUCCCCAGUCUCCAGUUCUGUACUCUCUGUCAUGCUUCACUCCUUUUGAAAAUAAGAUAUUGAAACAAAUAAUUAAUGGAAAAUAAUAAACAAAUAUUAAAAAUUCCUCUCAACGUUUUAUGAUGUUUACAUGAUAUAGCUCUUAGUUUCUUUCCCUAACAUAUGACAGAACAAUUCAAAAAGGCAAGUACUGCUAAAAGUAUUGCAAGAGACUGUGGAAAUUUCUUAUUCUAAAUUUUAAAUCUACUUGGAGGAAGCAUCUCUGUGCAUGAUGUAUUCACGUAACUUCUCCUGUCAAAAUUAAAAUAAUGGUAAGAAUUUCAAUAUACACACAUGACUGUGGUUGAAUUUUCUGAUGCUUUUAAGGUUAUUUAUUUCAUUAACAAUAGAUUAUGAAAAGAUUGCUUCCAGUGAUCAUCUUAACUACAAUCUGCAUGUGUUCAGUGACAGCUAAUUUACCACCGUCCUGAAACACUGAACAGGAUCACCUGAGGUGGGAAUCAGUGAUAGGCAGAUCUUUGCUUGGCCUUACUAACUUCUAAUGUAAAUUUUAACCUACCUGUGAUACUAGGUGAUAAUACUAUGAUAAAUAAAAUCCAGUACGUGAUGGAAAAGAAACAUGUGGUACAUGUUCACUGAGGAUUUUGUUACAGAGACAAAUUCGUAGGAGGCAAAAAGUGGAUUUCUUUCAAAGCAGUGAUAUGUAUUUGGUUAGUUCAUGUUGAUAUGGUAACCACAGAGGGUACUCUCUGGCUCUUGUACUAUAUUUACCAGUAAGUCUAUUACUGGCUGUAAGAGAGCUAUGCAUUUCGGUAUGUCAAUCUGUAAUAGUUUAUCUAGUGAAAAGACCUAUAUGGAUCUAUUAGGUUGAGGUUCUAGUUAAAGGCCUAUGGUCAUUUCAGAAUAUAAGUAUAUCAUGUUAUAAAUUAAUUUUACACAAGCAAGAAAACGUUAUGAAUUUAAUUGGCAUUAGUACAGUGAUCUUAAGUUAUAAAAAUCACUGCUCCUUAGUGAACCAUUCCUCUUCCUUCCUUAAGGGGAUGCCUAAUCCAUAGAAAAGGUAAUUUUUUGUCACCUACUUUCUGUCUUGUCUCAUAUUUUCUAAUGUAGUCUAUAUCCUUCAUGUCUCCUAUUUGCUUUUCUUCCCGUUGAGGUUGUAUCUUCAUAUUUUAAAAUUGUAAAGAACAAAUAUUACAUCUAGAAUUAUUGGCCAAAUAUUAUUUGUAUCAGUCUAGAUGAUGUGAUAUUUUGUAUUUUUUUUCUCACUGCAGCUCUUUGAAGUAGGAUGUUGGCCAAGGCUGACCUGCGGGUGAACUUCUGAGGUUCUCAGGGCAAACAGAGAUUACCUUUAUUCUUUUGAUAUGACAAUAUCCCUAACCAACUUAAAAAGAACUCUAUACCAUUGUUUUACAAAUAAAGCAAAUUAAAGUGUAAUGGGGGUUUCACAGUGGAAAGGCUCUGCCUUUUUUCCUCUAUGAAAACCUUCACUAAGAUCAUUCUCAUUUUAACGCCAGAGUAGUUUACUGAAUUUGAAAAUACUUUCCCUUUUCAUUUUGUAAAUAUUUGGUAUAUUUUCCUAGAAUUUUGCACACUUCCCUAUUAUUUACUGUAGCUGCAGCUUCUAUUUAAAUACAGUGAUUCUGGUAAAGGGAUGGCAAGCUCUAUUUUCUAAAUUCUGUAGUCAAUUCAAAUUCAUCAAAUUUAGAAUAAAGAUUAGAUUAAUAAAGGAAAACUGAACUUACAUAACUUACCUAAGUUUUUUAAGUAUUGUGUUAAAAUAAUUAAGUGGAAUGCUUUUUUAUUGGAUUUUUUUAAUGUUGUCAUUGUUUCUUUUUUUUUUUUUGCACUAUUUUAAAAUUGGAAAUUAUGUUUAUUUACUUUUCAAAUGUUAUUCCCUUUCCCGAUUCCUAACCCCCCUAGAAAUCCUCUAUCCAAUUCCCCCUUCUCCUGCUUCUAUGAGGGUGUACCCCCACCCUCCCUCCCACCCACUCCCUUCUCCCUGACCUCACAUCCCUGUACAUUGAGACAUCUAGCAUUCAGAGGACAAAGGGCCACUUCUCCAGUGAUGCCCAACAAGGACAUCAUCUGCUACAUCACAGUUGGAGCCAUGGGUUGCUUCAUGUGUACACUUUGGUUGGUGGUUUAGUCCCUGGGAGCUCUGCUUGGUUGAUAUUGUUGUCCUUCCUAUGGGAGGGCAAACCCUGUCAGCACCUUCUGUCCUGUUUCUAACUCCUCCAUUGAAGACCUGGUGAUCCAUUCAACAGUUGGCUGCAAGAGAGCAUCCACCUCUGUAUGUCAGACUCUCGCAGAGCCUCUCAGGAAACAGCUAUAUCAAGCUCCUGUCAGCAUGCACUCCUUGGCAUCCACAAUCGUAUUAUGUCUUCUGAGCUUUUGGGCUAAUAUCCACCUAUCAGUGAGUACAUAGCAUGUGUGUCCUUUUGUGAUUGUGUUACUUCACUCAGGAGGAUAUUUUCUAGUUACAUCCAUUUGCCUAAAGGCUCAUUUUCUGUUUUUCCUGCUUGAAACUUUGAGUGGUUUCAUACCUUUAAUAUUAAGGAUUAUGAGCUUAUCUAAGAAAUAUCAAAACUUUAAAGAGUGUUGGCAGAAAUUAAGAUUUACAAGGGUAUAGAAUACUGAAAUUUAAUGGCAAAUAUGAGGGGCACCAUUUUGCUAUCAUCAAGACUAUAAUUUAGUUUCUGAUAUGUCUUUAUAAACAACAUAAUGAUGUUAAAAGAAAAGAAAUGUAAAAAAUAUUUAGAAGGUGCAUGUGAAAAAAGGAAAAGAUUACAAGUUUAUUCCUUUCCAUAGUAUUCUCUGACUAAAAUGAGUUUUGAUGUUUAUGUAUGGAUGUACAUGAUACAUAGAGAGAAAUGAGGAAAGAAGGGAGACUUUUCUUCUUUGAGAACAUAAAGGAGUUAGGGGGAAAACAAGAGAAUGUUAGAAAAGAACUGAAGAAUAAAGGGGAUAAAACAAACAAAAAGUGUGGAAGAUGAUAAAUAUAAAACACUCAGAAUUUCAAUAUGAAAAUAUCAGUUGUCCUGUCUGUAGAAUGGGGAUUUAAAGAAUCAAAGGAAAGUAGACUUACUUAGACAUCUGCCUUAAUUCUGGGACAAGAGGAUGACUAAGUAAUUUUAGUAUCUUUAGGCAGAAGUUAGAGAGCUAUUAAACAAUCAAAAAUCAAUAAAUUGUAGGUUUCACUGAUAUGCAUGUGUGCACAAAGAAUGACUUAAAUGGUUCUUAGGUUUUUAACAUGUUCGAUUGGAUCAGAAUUUGUUAUUGCUCAUUCAAAUGCCGGCCAGUGGAGGAAGAUACCAUAAGCCUCCUGUGCAGUGAGAAGCACCUCUACCAAGGGUGUUUGGUUUAUAGGGGUGGAAUUCAAAAGCAGCUAAGAUGUAGCCAGGCAUUUGCAUAUCAAGGGUAAAUAUAAUGGACAACUAAGCCAGGUAGGUGGUAUGAAUACAUAAUAGAAAACCUGAGUAAGCAGAGAUAUACAGUAAUUCACAAAGAACAGAGAAGUUAAACAGCUAAGAGCAAAAUGUUGCAAAAGGAUCCAUGCGUAGAGGGAGAUCAACAAUCCCAUAGGACUGUGAUGUGUAACAAUGAGGCAUGCUGUUAUCUUUAUUCCUGUUUUUAGUAUUAACUUUAUUAUUUACUUAGAGGGUGUGCUGAAAUAACUGGAAAACUGAACACUGAAAGAUGUUCUUGGGGUAAAUUGUCAAGUGUUCUUAAAAUACAGGGGCUAGAGGAAUGACUUAUUCAGAGCACUUAGUACUCUCACUUAGGAUGUGAUUUGGCUUCCAGCACUCACAGAGCAGCAUACAAGCAGCCCAGAGAUUCAACACCUUGUUCUAGCACCAGUUGUCUCUAGACAUGCUUGCAAUCUAUAUACACAUGUGCUGGUAAAACACUCAUACACAUAGGAAAAAUAAAUACAACUUAUAAAAGCGUUCAUGAAAAGCUAUAUAUAUGUGUGCAUUUUGGGUAGAGUUUUGAGGAAAUUCAGUCUGGGUGUUUGUGAAGGACAGAAGUUUUGGACACUUUUGGAGCAGGAGUAAACAGGAGCUGUAAGAUGCUAAUGGGGAAGAUGAAUAUUGAUCCCAUGCCCUGAGUAAGAUCAGUAUGGACACUUAACCGUUGAUCCAUCAUUCUAGCUCCAUAUAUAAACUUUAAAAAAAAGUCUUUGAAAAUCAGUUAAUCAAAUGGAGACAUUGGUAGGCAUGUUGGAAUAAGUUAAAAGAAAAGUAUGAGUACUGAAGGAAAGCCUUGAAGAGGGUGCCGUAUGUUGACAGUGGUGACAUUGCUACACAGCAGAAGGCUGCAAGCCAUUGUCUUUGAAGGCAUAACAAAAUAAGAAACAAACAAGCAAACAUGGCUUUUAAGGAUAGAAAACAUUUAAAAUGCUGAUUGAGAAGAUAAAGCAAAGACCUUAAGCUUAAUAUUCAGAAGAGAAAACUGUAAUUGAGGAAUUAGGCAGAGUCAGGAAAGUCUAACAUGUCCGCUUUGUGGAAAUAAAACAAGUGAGACCCUAAAAAAGAUGCUUAGGGCCUAUAAGUUCCUUCUAAAUGAUCAUACAGUAACUCAUCGAAAACACAGAGCCACAUCAGCUAGAAACUAUUCAUGUCAACAUUGUGUAGAUAAGGAAGUAAGUUACUCAUGGCUAAUCUGGGGCCUGUCCAAUCCAGAAAUAAAACCAAGAAACCUCAGUAUUGAGGUUAAAGCAAACUACCCUUGACUGUCUUGUUUGUUUGUUUCUUAAGGACGAGUUUAUCUGUAUGAUAACAUGCAUAGGGGCAGGCUUGGUAGAAUAUGUGUCUACUCAUAGCAUUUGGCAGGCAGAAUUAAGCAAAUCUCUGAGUUUGAGCCCAUCCUGAUCUGCAAAUAAAGUUCCAGGCCAGCUAAAGCAAAAUAAAGAUCAGCCUCCAAACGUUGACACCAUUGCAUACACUAGCAAGAUUUUGCUGAAAUUCAGGACCCUGAUAUAGCUGUCUCUUGUGAGGCUAUUCUUGGGCCUAGCAAACACAGAAGUGGAUGCUCACAGUCUGCUAUUGGAUGGAACACAGGGUCCCCAACGGAGGAGCUAGAGAAAGUACUCAAGGAGCUAAAGGGAUCUGCACCCCUAUGGGUGGAACAACAAUAUGAACUAACCAGUAACCCCUGGAGCUCGUGUCUCUAGCUGCAUAUGUAUCAGAAGAUGGCCUAAUUGGCCAUCAGUGGAAAGAGAGGCCCAUUGGUCUUGCAAAUUUUAUAUGCCUCAAUACAGGGGAACACCAGGGCCAAAAAGUGGGAGUGGUGGGAGGAGAAUGGGGGGAGGGCAUGAGGGACUUUUGGGAUAACAUUAGAAAUGUAAAUGAAGAAAAUACCUAAUAAAAAAUUAAAUUAAAUUAAAAAAUCGUAGGCAAAAAAUAAAAACCACCCAAAACAACAAUGCAUAAGAGUUUUCCAAUAGUUUAAUGAAAAAAAAUCAGAUGAGAUGUUAAAUCUUAUUUAGAAUGUUAAAAACUGAAUGAGCAGACAAAUAUGUCCAAGUAUAGCCUUCCUUCUUUGCCAAUCAUUCCAGGACUGACCACACAGAUCCACUUCAUCAAACCUCUUCCAUUCCUUUUCCAGUUGACUCAGGAUUCUUGGAAAGGACAGGUAGUGGAAGGGACUGGCAUCAUCAGAGGCAAAUAUCGGUUUGAUAAAUCUGUAAAAUAGCAUAGAAGAUGUCAAAACAGAGCUGAACACUAGCUACAUACCAAAACAAGCAGCUAUUGCAAUAGAACAGUGCAAUAAAACUGAAACUGACUUUGGCUUGUACAGAGGAUAUUGGGGGUUUUAAAAGCAGAAUCAAGGAGUUUUUAAAGAGUAGAAUCAAGGAGUAACAGAAGAGAGGGACUUAAUUAUUACCAGGAAUUUUAGGGUUUUUCAAAAGCCAGGCUUGGCCAACAGUCAUCAUUACACUAAUCAAAAAAUCAACUAACUGGUAAAAAGCACAGAAGGAAUUAUUCAGUGUGGUCUUGUAAGAAAGAGAAACAAAUAACGAUGUACACUGACCUCUGAUCUGUCUUUGGGAGAAGGACAUGAGAUUCAGAUUGUAAGAGAAGGUUCUAGAAUGCAUUACCCAACCCUCCUGUGGAGGACAAGUCAACUUCUAAGAUCAGCUGCAGGUGGAACAGCUCUUGUAAGGAAAUAUUCUUAUCUGGUAGGCGAAAUGGCUCAGUCUCUUCCAUUUCAGUAUGCAGUUUCUGGGUAAAUUUUAGUUCCUCAAGGACAACUCUUCCAGCAUUCUGACACAAAAGAAAGGACAGAACCUCUUUCCUUAGAGCCCAUUUCUUCCCUUCAAGGAUGGUUACAUGACAUAGGAAUAUGAAAAAUGAUAGAAAUCAGGAUGACUGAGUUGCUCCAUUUGAAUCCUGUCUGGUUUUGUUGUUGUUCAUAUAACUCAGUUUAUACCUCUCCCUCCUGUCCACAAACCUAGGAGAUAGGGCUGCUAUUUAACGUUGCUAUCCAAGAAAAUAAUCUUUGUGGACUUAGGUUUUCUCAGGUAGGUCCUUUUAAAAAAAACUGUGAUUUUCCUAGGUAAAAUGCAGAUAUGAGCUCUUACACACUUUUCUCAUGAUUAUUCGUGUUUUUAUAGGCAAAGGUCUAGAAAUAGAGUAAUCCAAAUAAUUAUAAUAGCCAUUUUUUCCAUGGUAAUUGUAGCUGCUCUGAUAGAACAUUACACAAAUUAUUUCAUUUAGUAGCAAGAAUGGCUCUAUACUGGUCUGGACCCACAUGGUGGAAGAAGAGAACCAGCUCCCUCAAGGAUAAAAUAAAUAAAUGGAAUUUAUUUAUUUAUCUUGUGUGAGUGCUCAAAUAUGUGUGAGGACAAGCAUUCCCCAUACAUGUGUAGAUGGCAGAGGACAGCUCCUGGGAGUCUGUUGUCUCCUUCUACCACAAGAGAGCCUGGCAUCAAGUACAAUCACACACACACACACACACACACACACACACACAUACACACACACACAAAAAAAAAGAAUGGCUCUAUAAGAUAAAUGUUGUUGUUCAAAACUCAGACUUAGCAACAUUGACCAACUCAGUUAGCUUGGUUAGGUUUGAAUUAACAUUGAAAUCCAACUAAUACAACUAGUUCAAUAGCUGACCAUACAUCUUUAACACUGAAUGACAUGUUGUAACUACUCAAAUGCAACUUGGUGAAAUUAUUGCAAAUUGUUGAAUUUCUUUAUUUUUAGUCUUUCUUUGCACACAAGUCUGGGAAGGCUUACUCAAGUAACAAUUAGUGCAACUAAUAUAUAUAUAUUAAGAGACUACAAAUAAGAAUAUUUUGUAAGUUUUUCUUACAGAGUACAAACUUUUAUAUCUUCUAAAUGCAUCUUAUUUCUUUUACCACACAUUACAAUGGAAAUGAUUGUAUGAAUAAAUUGUAUAUGAUUGUACUAAAUGCUUACUUUGAGUUGAAUGAAAAUAUAAAAUACAUUAAUAUAUAAUGUAUUUUGGAUAGUUUAGAUAUCAUUUGUAUAAUCAGUCUCUUUCUCUCUCCCUGUGUCUCAAUCUCUCUUUCCCUCUCUUUCUCUAUCACUGGCCUCCAUUUCCUCUCUUCUGUUUUCUUCUUCCUGACUCCCUUUGUAGAUGUUUCCUUUGAAUCUUUAAAUUAUAGUCCUCAUAUAAGGCAGAGAACUAGUAAGGGACCAGAGUGGUGGAUCUCAAAGGAAAGGGAAUAUAACACAAAUGUCAUGAAAUGAUAAGUCUGAAUGGUGGACGAGGGAGAGUGAAACUGCUGGGGACAAUGAAAACAAAAAUGUCUGAGGAGAGCACAGUAACACCAAGGUCCUCAAAAAUGUCACAUGGCAUCUAAUAUUAUAAAAGUACAUACAAAAAAGAUAAACACACCACGCCUCCACAUAUAUAUAUAUUUCAAUAAUUUUUCAAUAAUAGUGAAUUAAUGCAUCUUCCUAACACUGUGGAUUACUAAAUAUCAAGGACACUGCCAGGCAGAAGUACCACAUACUUGAGCCAUGUGACAUGAUCAGAAGCUAGCUGGUCCCCAUUUGGAAUGCUUCAUCCUGUUAUCUGCCUUUUACAGAGCUCAGUUUCUUCUCACACUACCAGGGAGAAAUGAACCUUUGAUAACAUUCCAUAAACUAUAUAUUCUGCAGUUUUUUUCUAUCUACUAAAAAUUAUAGAAAUAAAUUUAAAAGAAUCCCAGAUUCUUGGGUAUAUUGUUGAUAUUAUGUAAUAGAUGUGUAUUUUACAGACACACACACACAUGCAUGCACACACACACAUUCAUGCACACAUACAUGCAUGCACACACACGCACACACACACAUGCAUGCACACACGCACACUUGCAUACAUACCCAUGCAUGUACACAUAUGCACAGACACACACACACACACACACACACACACACACACACACUGCACUUUUUUCUCACUCCCUCUGUGUGUUCCUGGGCACCUAUAAGACAGACCUUGAUGAUUUAAUAUUCACUAUACUACACAACGUUUGUUUUUGUUUUACUUCAGUGUUUUAGUGAAAGGAGAUGGGAUGGGUUUUUAGAUUACUAUGUAGGUUUUAGUUGAAAAAAAUAUUUGGGCUCCUAGAAAUGAUGUAUAUAUAUAUAUUGAUAUAUACAAAUAUAUGAUGAUUAUAGGUAUAGCUAAAAUAUUGUCUGCAGGAUGAGAAAUGUUAUAUUAGUCCACAGGUAUAGAAAUCACCUAAUUGAACUGUAACACUAUCAUCCCAUGUGUCGUGUUAAAUAUGAGAUAUUUUGACUUUUCUAAUUCCAUCACCUACUGAGCUCAGACCUUUUCACAACAAACAUUGUUAUAAAAGAAAGGUAACAGUUUGCCAACAGGUUAAGCCUUUCUUUAUGCAGCCCAAGUUGUUGUUAUUUUUAGUGUUUUACUGCAUUGGCUUUAUUAGAUAAUAAUUGAGUUGGGUUUUUAUUUUUCUCAGCAAUAUUCCUGUCGAGUUAGAAAGACGAAAAAAGAAUCAUCAACCACUUUCUAAGCUUAAGAUUCCUAAGGUGUUUUUAUUACCCUGUUCAAUAUUUUUAUCCUAAGGUAGUUUGUUUUAAUUUUCUGUCCAAUUUAAUAUCUCCUUUGAUUAUAAUUUCUGUAACCUGGUUAAUUUACAGUUUUAAACAUUUUCCAGAGUCAUUUCUCUCACAACAUAAUUAAACUAAAAUGAGGGCAAAGUAAAAAUAUUAAAGCAUUAUCCCAGAGUUCCAUUGUAGUCUUCAUCUAGACUUCAAGCUCAAUAUGUCUAUAAUUAAGCCUAGGCAGCGUGCCUAGAUCUUACAUAACCUUACAAUGGAGUCUGGGCAUGACACAAACAGACAGAUCUGACUUGGUAUCUCUCACUUAAGGAUUCAGCUGGAGCGGAAAUUGAACUCUGCUAUAUAUUUUACAGUGGGGAAGUUACUUAAAAGUUUUAGGUUUCAUUAAUCUCUCCAAUAAUACACAAAUAAAAACUAAAUUAAAAAUCAAGUCAGGUUGUGAGUAAGGUAAAAAUAUGAAGUGCCUUGAAUACUUUCUGAGUUUCUGUUAAUGAUCAUUAAAAUACUUUUAUUAUCAUCUUAAAAAUAAUUCAAGAACUAUUAUUCCCCAAAUCUGUUAAGCUCAGGCAGACAUUGAUCCUUAGCACCCAUGCUUUGCCUACUACAUCCUGAUUCUGAAAAUAGCUUUAUAAAUAUCAUCUUAAUUGUGAAUUUCUAGAAAUUAUUUUCAACUUGAGAGUCACCAUCCUUGAGAAUGAACAAAGACAUAAGUGUGUGGUAUUUCGGACCAUAUAUUCAUGUUGUGAUUAUAAAAGCUGGACUAUAACUAUCUAUAAAGUUUUCUCUUGAAGAAAAUAUGUAAUAAACCCUAUAAUAAUGACAUAUUGAUAUUCUCUUUAGCUGUGUUUCCACAAAUCUAUGACUUCACUACACAAAUGAGAUAUUUAUACAAAUUGGUAGUCAUCUGUUUUCUCUUUUAAUGUGCAUUCACCCAUUUCAUAGAGGAUUCUGUGUCUUGCAAAUUCUGUGACUUGUUAUAGGCAAAUAGAAUGUAUGCACAAGUAAACUGUGGCAAUUUAAAUGGUAUAAGGGCUACCUCAUAAUUUGUUAUAAUUUCUCUUUCUGGCCAUUGUUAAUCUGAACACAUUUGUUAUAUUGAGCUCCUAUAGGUCAUGAGAACCGAAUGGCUAUAAUGAGUCUAGUAUCUAAUGUCUUAGUCCAGUAACUUUGUAAGAUUAAAAUACCAAUUUUAUUUGUGGUGCAUAAAAGAGUAUGAGUAAUGGAUAGUCUAGUUUGAGAAAAGUGCUUGGAGACUUUAAGUGUCAGCAUGUAUGCAGUGUGUAGCAGAACAGACUAAUGGACCAUGUGCCCAGAAGUAACAAUACAGCCCAAACUUCAGGUGUUGUGACAUCUUGAUGUGAGUCCAAAAAUACUGCUGGCUUCUAGCAUGUGAAGAUUACAUUUCAAGCCUUCAGUACUAUAUGAGAAACUAGUUUUCAAAAGAUUACCAAAGAUAUGCUACUAAAAAAAAUUAACGUUUUUAUCUAUUUUCUGUAUUUCUUCAAUUUUUCAUACUAGUCCAUUCUAUAGGAAGCAAUCUCAUUUGACAUGAAAUUUCAUUAUCAAUCUCAGCUUAUUAGUAGAUUCCUUUAUUGUCUGUGUUUAUUAAAAGUAACAUUCUAUUUAUUGUUUCUGAAAAAAUUUACAUCUGAAACUUUUCUGUCAGCACUACAAGAUAUUAAUUAUUGUUUUUAACCAAGCCAUUCUUGUGUCUCAAUGUGUAGUCACACUAUGUUUUCUUUUACAUCCAUUUUUUUUCUUUUUAUAUUUGAACACGGACAUUCAUAACAUACUUUUCAGCUACAUGAAAAUUCAUUGAGCUAUAUUUUCAUUAUUCAUUCAUCUAAUGGUGAGGAUCUAGUCUGAUUAAACGCUCUUUUAAUAUGAAAGACCUGCUGUAAACUGAGGAUAUGCAGGGUUGAAGAUGGAGUCCAUUGGGUGAUGCCCAAGAGUGGUACAGCUAGGUCUCAUGCACCUUUCACAUUUAGCUUUAAGAGAAACCUCCAAACUAAUUUGCAAAGUGUAUUUUAGAAUAACACCAUCUGGGGUCUAACUUGAACAUUCCAUUCCCCUGCCCUGUAAAUUGGAAUUGGGGGUAAUUAAUCUAUCAGGGACAUUGUUUUCUCAAAUUUAAAUUGAGAAUGUAAAAGAAAUUUUAUUGUUAAAAAUUAUGGCUGUGAAAGAAUUUUGGAGCUUGUCACUUUUCAUGUAAAUGUAUGUUAUACUCAUUAUGUGCCGAGCUUAAAUUUUUAGUAACUAUAUAUUCUGUUUCUAAUUCCGAUCUUUGAAUUCAGAAUCCCCCAAUUCUCCUCUCAAAAAAUCUCGCAUGAUUGUCAUGUUCUCUCAUUUUUUCAAAUGAAUUUAAAGCUAGUGAAUAUAUGAGGCUAUAAUUUUAGAUAAAAGCACAAAGCUUUACUGGUAAAAGAUGUUAAUUCUUGCCACUAAGCCAUUUUAUGUAGGUUCCUGCAUAUCCAGUCACAAAGAUGCACCUAUUGCUAUGUUAGAGUUUAAAAGAUUUCAUACACUGUUACAAAGUAUGAACUAAAUAUGUCUGCAAUACCUUGUGAAGUAACACUCACUUAUUCAUGUUUGUUUGUUUGUUUGUUUUUAUUUCGCUGUAUUUUAUUUUAUUUUAUUAUUGCUUUCCCAUAUCUCUUUGUAUUUCAAUAAGAAAGAGAAAGACAGAGUGAGGAAUCAGAAGGGUUAGAUGCUAGGGAGGAUCUAGGAAAACAUAUUGUAUGAAAAUUUUUAUAAUAAAAAAUGUCUUCUGUAAGUUUACUCUAAAUAAAUCUAUAGGACAUCA